rnacentral:lncRNA from 1 species
GGUACACACUCUCUCGAGUCAUUUGUUCUGUGAAGACACACAGGUAGUAGAGAGAACUGGGACAGAAGCCUCCAGCCAACAAUGUGAGCAAGACUGGAAGCAGGGCUGCAGCUGACUGCAAUCCUGAACAGCUUUUAUGCAGACACAGGUCAGAACCACCCAACAGAUGUUGCCCCUGGAUUCCUGAUCCUCAUAAACUGUCAGCAGGAAUUGUACUUGAGAAGCUGUACUUAAGGAACAUCCAAGAAGUCCCAACUGUACCUGAAUCUAACUUAGAUGAGAUUCUAGACUUUGAGCUGUGAUAGGAUAAGACUUUUGAAUAUAACAGCUAAAAAAAAAAAAAAAAAUCACACUUUAUACAGGUAUAUGCUAUUGACUCAUAUACCACAAAUGGUGAUGUCAAUGAAGUGACUUUCGAACAAUAAGAACUCCUGCAAAAGUUCUGAACAAAAAAAGUACAACAUCCUCUUUAUACACUAGCUGCUUUUCUGGAAAGUCUACUGUAUAUUAAAACUGUACACUUCACAUGUAAAAUUAAAUUAGGUCCUAGACUCAGAUAAUUUA